AAAUACUAAUGAACUUCAAAUACAAAGUUUAAGAAGGAGUUGUACUCAAAUUAAAAGUAAAUCGUAUUACACAACGAAAAGUAUUAAAAACUAGUUAAAAGAGUCAGAUCUAUUAUAUAAUUCAGCAUUCAACUAAUCUUCUUCUGAACUAUCAUCUCUAAUGUUGUCUCCUUUAUGAUGUCCACUGGUAGUAGGAUUUGAAGAACCUGAUAUGGGAUUAUUCAUUUGAAUGUGUUGCAUGAUUUGUUGCAUCUGCUCAUUUUGUUUGCACAUCUGCUCAUUAUGUUUACGCAUAUGCUCAUUUUGUUUGCUAUGCUAUAUAUAUAUUUUUCCUAUAGACAAGAGAGAUGAAGAAUGUCAUAUUGAAUCAAAAGAUCAUUAAAAUAAGUAAAACUAGCUUCAGCCUAAUAAUAAAAGUUUAGUCACCAUCAUGGAAAACUAAUAAAAAUUGAGAUAUAAUCAACCAUUGAUUAGCCAUAUUGCCAACAAUUUCAUCCCAAUAUCAUACAAAAGAAUAAGAAAGAAGAAACUACAAACUAAGGAAAUGAAUGCAGAGGCAAGUUUAGAAUAGAGGGAAAAAUAUUUCACCUUUUAUUUUUUAAAGUUCAACCAUUAAUUUGGUCCCUAUAGUUGAACAAACUUUACAUUUUAGUCUCAUGUAAAGAUCAUAUUUUUAGUCUUAUACAUACUAUUGUAAUCUCUUUUAAUUUCUAUGAAUUUAA
rnacentral:lncRNA from 1 species